CACGUAGGGUGCGAGCGUUGUCCGGAAUUAUUGGGCGUAAAGAGCUCGUAGGCGGUGUGUCGCGUCGGCCGUGAAAACCUGCAGCUUAACUGUGGGCUUGCGGUCGAUACGGGCAUCACUGGAGUUCGGCAGGGGAGACUGGAAUUCCUGGUGUAGCGGUGAAAUGCGCAGAUAUCAGGAGGAAUACCGGUGGCGAAGGCGGCAUCCUGGACCGGCAUUGACGCUGAACAGCGAAAGCUAGGGGAGCAAACGGG
rnacentral:rRNA from 1 species